AACGAACGCUGGCGGCAGGCUUAACACAUGCAAGUCGAGCGCCCCGCAAGGGGAGCGGCAGACGGGUGAGUAACGCGUGGGAAUCUACCCAUCCCUACGGAACAACUCCGGGAAACUGGAGCUAAUACCGUAUACGCCCUUUGGGGGAAAGAUUUAUCGGGGAUGGAUGAGCCCGCGUUGGAUUAGCUAGUUGGUGGGGUAAUGGCCUACCAAGGCAACGAUCCAUAGCUGGUCUGAGAGGAUGAUCAGCCACACUGGGACUGAGACACGGCCCAGACUCCUACGGGAGGCAGCAGUGGGGAAUAUUGGACAAUGGGCGCAAGCCUGAUCCAGCCAUGCCGCGUGAGUGAUGACGGCCCUAGGGUUGUAAAGCUCUUUCACCGGUGAAGAUAAUGACGGUAACCGGAGAAGAAGCCCCGGCUAACUUCGUG
rnacentral:rRNA from 1 species